AACGAACGCUGGCGGUAUGCCUAACACAUGCAAGUCGAACGAAGCCUUCGGGCUUAGUGGCGCACGGGUGCGUAACGCGUGGGAAUCUGCCCUUUGGUUCGGAAUAACAGUUGGAAACGACUGCUAAUACCGGAUGAUGACGAAAGUCCAAAGAUUUAUCGCCAGAGGAUGAGCCCGCGUAGGAUUAGCUAGUUGGUGUGGUAAAGGCGCACCAAGGCGACGAUCCUUAGCUGGUCUGAGAGGAUGAUCAGCCACACUGGGACUGAGACACGGCCCAGACUCCUACGGGAGGCAGCAGUGGGGAAUAUUGGACAAUGGGCGAAAGCCUGAUCCAGCAAUGCCGCGUGAGUGAUGAAGGCCCUGGGGUUGUAAAGCUCUUUUACCCGGGAUGAUAAUGACAGUACCGGGAGAAUAAGCCCCGGCUAACUCCGUGCCAGCAGCCGCCGUAA
rnacentral:rRNA from 1 species